UUGUCAAAACAGAGAAUAUACAUUAACAGUUCAGUAAUCUCUCUCUCUCCCUCACAGGAGUAAUGGUGACUUGGACUGGUCUGGAGCAUUUUCGUGUAGGAAGAUUCAAUCCACCUCCACCUGCAAUUGAAGCUGAUGAUUUUGUGGUACGUUCUUUAAACAAAGAACAACAAUACUUUAAGUUGAAUAAACGAAAGAUUGUAACUUUGUGAUUGAUGUGUGUUGAACUUAGUAUGAUCUUCGACCAAGGUGGCCUCGUGGAGAGGAGUACGCACAGGGGAGAAGCGAAGCUCGUUCUUUGAGAACCGCACGCGUUCAUCCCUCUCUCACUUCAAUCAUCCUUGUAACUACAUUAACCAACGCUUUUCCGGUUAAUUAUUAAAAUCAAUUCAGUAAAUCUUCAUACCCGGUUAUUUUAAACCAAUCCGGUUUCAAUUUUACUUAUAGAGACACAUCAACCCUACCGCAAGGAAAAUAUUUUUUUGUGGUUGAUUAAAGAAUUUCAGUAAACCAAUGGUUAAUCUCAUAUCCGGUUACUCCAAACCGUGUCCGGUUUGAUUUUGCUUAACACUCUCAAAGGCGGGGAAAAUCGCCGGCGAUUGAAGAAAGCUUUCACUCGCGACGAACCUUCAUGGAGACGUGGAGGCUACCGUUGUCGUCUUCGAUCAGAGGAAAGCUGAUAUCCGCCGGCUACACUUCCCUGUCGUCGAUUUCAUCCGUCUCCUCCACCGAUCUCGCUCGAGAUGUUAAAAUCACAGAGAGUGAAGCAUUUGAGAUUUUGAAGAUGGCGAAUCAAGUCACUGGAUCAAGCUCUUGCAAUGGAAGAAGCUCUUCUCUCGUAAACGGAGCAAGGAAUGCUUGGGAUAUGCUUCACGAGGAGGAAGCUUUGCCUCGCAUUACUACAUCUUGUUCUGAUCUUGAUAAGAUCUUGGGAGGUGGAAUAAGCUGCAGGGAUGUUACAGAGAUUGGUGGAGUACCAGGUAUUGGCAAGACUCAGAUUGGGAUCCAGCUCUCUGUGAAUGUUCAGAUUCCUCGUGAGUUUGGUGGUCUUGGAGGAAAAGCUAUAUAUAUAGAUACAGAAGGUAGCUUCAUGGUGGAGCGUGCUCUACAGAUCGCAGAAGCUUGUGUGGAGGACAUGGAGGAAUACACUGGAUACAUGCACAAACAUUUUAAAGCGAGUCAAGUGCAGAUGAAACCUAGAGAUAUCUUGGAGAACAUAUUCUACUUCCGUGUCUGCAGUUAUACCGAGCAGAUCGCUUUGGUUAAUCAUCUUGACAAGUUCAUCUCUGAAAAUAAAGAUGUUAAAGUGGUAAUCGUAGACAGUAUCACGUUUCAUUUUCGUCAGGACUUUGAUGAUUUAGCUCAGAGGACACGAGUGCUUAGUGAAAUGGCUUUGAAGUUUAUGAAGCUUGCCAAAAAGUUCUCUCUUGCUGUUGUGUUAUUAAACCAGGUGACCACAAAGUACACCGAAGGCUCGUUUCAGUUAGCUCUUGCGUUAGGUGAUAGCUGGUCUCAUUCGUGCACCAACCGAGUGAUUCUGUAUUGGAACGGUGAUGAGCGUUACGCUUAUAUCGACAAGUCCCCUUCACUUCCUUCGGCUUCCGCUUCGUACACUGUAACUGGUAGAGGUCUAAGAAACUCCUCAUCAAGUAGCAAGCGUGUCAAGAUGAUGUAAAGACACAACACAAGCACACGAGUAAGCUUUCUACGGUUUCCUUUGCUGCGUGUCAAAAUGAUGUAAAGACACAACACAAGCACAUGACAAUUAGGUUCUUCACCAACCCCUGUCAUGAACAUGGCUUUUGCUUUACACACCAACUCAUGUCGCACCUAUUCUCUUAUUUUGACUUUUAAAAACAAAACAAAAAAAGUUGAAAGACGUAGAGGAUCAA